CAAUAGCGUAUAUUAAAGUUGUUGCAGUUAAAAAGCUCGUAGUUGGAUUUGUGGUGUAUGGUGUGUUCCGGGCACUUGUUGUCUGAGUAACUUGCCAUUGCCAUCCUUGGGUGAAACCUGUGUGGCAUUAGGUUGUCGUGCAGGGGAUGCCCAUCGUUUACUGUGAAAAAAUUAGAGUGUUCAAAGCAGGCUUAUGCCGUUGAAUAUAUUAGCAUGGAAUAAUAAGAUAGGACUUUUUUGCUAUUUUGUUGGUUUGCGCGAGAAGGUAAUGAUUAAUAGGGAUAGUUGGGGGUAUUCGUAUUCCAUUGUCAGAGGUGAAAUUCUUGGAUUUUUGGAAGACGAACUACUGCGAAAGCAUUUACCAAGGAUGUUUUCAUUAA
rnacentral:rRNA from 1 species